UACGUAGGGUGCAAGCGUUGUCCGGAAUUAUUGGGCGUAAAGAGCUCGUAGGCGGUCUGUCGCGUCUGCUGUGAAAACUCAGGGCUUAACCCUGAGCUUGCAGUGGGUACGGGCAGACUAGAGUCCGGAAGAGGCGAGUGGAAUUCCUGGUGUAGCGGUGGAAUGCGCAGAUAUCAGGAGGAACACCAAUGGCGAAGGCAGCUCGCUGGGACGGUACUGACGCUGGAGGUGCGAAAAGCCGUGGGGAGCGAACAGG
rnacentral:rRNA from 1 species